rnacentral:rRNA from 1 species
CCUACGGGUGGCAGCAGUGAGGAAUAUUGGUCAAUGGGCGCGAGCCUGAACCAGCCAAGUCGCGUGAAGGAUGACUGCCCUACGGGUUGUAAACUUCUUUUAUAAAGGAAUAAAGUGAGGCACGUGUGCCUUUUUGUAUGUACUUUAUGAAUAAGGAUCGGCUAACUCCGUGCCAGCAGCCGCGGUAAUCCUGAGUAUCCGAGCGUUAUCCGGAUUUAUUGGGUUUAAAGGGAGCGUAGAUGGGUUGUUAAGUCAGUUGUGAAAGUGUGCGGCUCAACCGUAAAAUUGCAAUUGAUACUGGCAGCCUUGAGUACAGUUGAGGUAGGCGGAAUUCGUGGUGUAGCGGUGAAAUGCUUAGAUAUCACGAAGAACUCCGAUUGCGAAGGCAGCUUACUAAACUGACACUGACAUUGAUGCUCGAAAGUGUGGGUAUCAAACAGGAUUAGAUACCCCUGUAGUC